CUCCGAGAGCUUGCCCAAGGUCACGUGUCACAUCACUCGCAGACGCUGUCACAGCUGGAAAGGAACCUCAGCCGGUCCAGACAGCUUUACUGGCCAAGGAGGACCCCAAAUGACUGUGCCGAAACCCAGGUCUUCCAAAGCUCACCUCAGUGCUUUUUCUCAGUGAACCAGUCCAGACUAGUACUGACCCCACCUAUCUUUUACAUUUUCCAAAACAAUGACAAACCAGAUUCCUCCGUGGUCUCAAUUGGUGCUAGCUCCCACUUGGAUGUGUGAGAGGGGAAAAGAGGAAGCUAGGACAUUUCUCCCACUGGGUGUGAAAUUCCUGAGACCCGAGACUGCUGGAAGAAGGAAUGCCAGUGCAGGAAUGCUUAGCCCCAUGAUUAACUCUUACCCAUCACAGUUCUUUCUAACAGUGAAAUAGACCACAGGCUUAGCCUGACAUUUGUCCAAGCCUAAAUUUUCGCUUAGGCUGUUUUGAACACUGAUACUUAUGCCUGCUUUCUAAGCAUGAAAUAAUGUUCUUGUUCUCAUGGGAGUAACACAUGUUUAUGCUUGGGGGCAAAGAAGCCAAUUGCUUUACGAUUAACCCUGAAGUGGAGCCUAAAAAGCAAGAGUCUUCCAUGAUGAGUGUUGACAAUACAGUUGAAAUGGGCCUGUUUCUUGUUACAAAGUACACGUGUGUCUACAUGAACAUGUGCAUACAUAUGUGUGUGUAGGGGUCCCGUCCUGAUCGCGGUGAUUGCCUGCAACCUAGGGUUCAAUUUUUAAGUUGGGAAAUGCAUUGAGUGUAUUUUAACUUGCAAGUUUCACUUCUAAUUAAAGCAAGAUUUAAUUACAAGUAAAAAUUUUAAAGUAAACACUCUUCCUAAGAUGAAACACCUUUAAUGCUACAUCAGCCCAUUUUCUUAAUACCGUAUGCUUUAGAAAGGAGUUGGCAGUAUUAAUACAGUACUGAUUUUAUUUUGCCUUCCAAAUUUCUCAGUUUGCCCCCAAAGAGCAUGUCUGGUAGAGAAUGCAGACCUAACAUAGCUCCUCGUAGAGCAGACUUGUUUCCCUCCCUUGAGCUUGAGAACCGGUCAGCAGGGAAGGCCAGGUGUGGUGGGUAGCAGUGUUUGGGACCCAGCAGAUUCAGACUUAAAGGUUCAUUUUUCUCAGUUGCAUGAUCUUCCGAGUGAACCCGUAAUUGGGCCUCACUCGCCUGGGUCGUAUCCUUCAAGUCUGCACUUCCUGCAGCAUGGAGGUGGCCAUGGGGCCCGACCCUGCUCCCUCACGCCCAUUCAGCCACCCUCUGUGAUGCUGGUCUUUGUCAGGAAUGUGCAGCAGAUGCCACAGUGCUUAGAAGUCUCUGGAGUGGACGUAUUUUUCCCUCCUGAUUCCUGUGCCAUUUAAAGCGUCCGUGACUGCUUUCCAAGACAGGCGAAGGCGUGAGGGUAGAGAGUCUCGGCUAAUGAGGGAUGCUGGCUCCCUCCCAAAGCAUCCCACGGUAAUCUCUCCCCAAAAAGCCGGGCCUCCUCCCAGACAUCUGAGGGCUCCCCAUGGGUGACGGCCUGCUGGUCAUGUGCAUUCACACACCCCAGACUUGCUGCCAGUCAGUGCCUGCCGUUCACCCUGGUGCUGAUGGGUGACUGUGCCCAGGCUGUGUGUGCUUCCCUCCCGAUACUUCCUGGGGUUAGUUCGCUCCUCCAGAGCCAGUCUGCCAGGUUCCUCUACGAUAAAUGGACCUAGUCACGAAAGCGUGAAUAACCCAAAGAGAAUCUGGGCCGGUGCACUCCGAUGCGCCCUGACACAUACCGCAAUGUGCCAAGUGCAGCUUAGAAUUUUCCAAGAUAAACGGUGAAUCUUAAGGGGAGUAUUUUAUCCUCUUGUGAGGAAAAGUACUUUAAAAUGUGCAAAACUGAUGAAUCAGAGCUUAAGGAAGACUGAGACCCCAUUUUGGCCAAACCUGAGAGGGUGAGGACGUCACUGGUUUUGAACGCGGUUGGCUGUGCCACGCGGGGCCUGUAAGCAGCACGUGACGUGGAGGUUGGUCAUCUCGUGUGGGCAGUCGGCUUUCACAGCAGGAACUGACCACUCAGCAGGACCCCUACCUCGAGAAAAGGGGCUGCCUACCUCCACUGGAUUUAAUCUUGAAAAUCGGGCCCCGAACAGGCGGUCACCUUCCUUUCGUGCUGUACAAGCUCGCCUUUAAGCUCUGCUUCUGAUGUUGCCUUCCUUUACCUAAAGUGAUUCUGAGUCAUUAGUGUGAUGAAGGAAAUACUGUCUGAGGCCUUUUUUUUUUUUUUGUAUUCAAUAUGACGCCAAAGCUGCAAAAUAGGAACGAAGCAUGGUAAUAAUGCUGGUCCAGAGGUGGCCAAAUUUGUAUGCUUCUUCUGGGCCUGCUGCCAAGAGCAGACCUGGCUCCCUAAUGGGAGCACGGUAUGCUUCCCCUACAGCCUCCGUACUCAGGGUUCUCUCCGGAGACAGAGAAGGAAGUCUAGGGGAGGCCUAAGCCUCUGAAGCCAACACCACUGGUUUCUCACAGCAAUGAGAAGCAUGCAGGCCAGGCAUGCUUGCAAGCAACAGGUGUGUCCCAUGUCCCUCACAUCUCUGGCCUAUCUCGGGUUACUCCGAGUCACCCCCAAAUGUGAGACAGCAAAGACUGCUCGGUGGCAAUUGGCCAGCUGGAUCCUUUCUAAAUGUCACUUAGAUGACUUAACCAAGGCUUAGUUCGUGUUUUGCAGCCGUAUGGAAAUUUAGCUGGUCAGAUCAUUGGAAGUCUGUAAUCACCUGACAUGCUAAGUGUCUGUCUGUGCCCCGAGACGCAAGAGUGGCCGUCUGACCUCACCCUGUCCUUGUCUAGGAAACACGCUGGAGAAGAAAGGUGGCAAGGAGUUUGUGGAAGCUGUUCUGGAGCUCCGAAAAAAGAACGGGCCCUUGGAAGUCGCUGGAGCUGCUGUCAGCGCGGGCCACGGCCUGCCUGCCAAGUUUGUGAUCCACUGUAACAGUCCGGUCUGGGGUGCAGACAAGUGUGAGGAACUUCUGGAAAAGACGGUGAAGAACUGCUUGGCCCUGGCCGACGAUAAGAAGCUCAAGUCCAUCGCGUUCCCAUCCAUUGGCAGUGGCAGGAAUGGUUUUCCAAAACAGACGGCAGCUCAGCUGAUCCUGAAGGCCAUCUCCAGUUACUUCGUGUCAACAAUGUCCUCUUCCAUCAAAACGGUGUAUUUCGUGCUUUUUGACAGCGAGAGUAUAGGCAUCUACGUACAGGAAAUGGCCAAGCUGGACGCCAACUAGGCGGAGGAACUACAGAGCCAGCCUGCACCGUGCCCCCGCCUCCAGUCUGAAAGAAAGAAAGAAAAAUCCCCUUCACUCCUGUUGGGAGGCGGGACCCUUUCAUUUCCAAUUUUGCUCAUCUAGGGAAAAUAAGGUUUUGGUUUCCAGUUUAAUUGUUUUUGACCUUCUAAAAUGUUUUUACGUUAGCACUGAUAGUUGGCAUUACUGUUGUUAAGCACUGUGUUCCAGACCGUGUCUGACUUUAGCGUAACCUAGGAGAUUUUAUAGUUUUAUUUUAAUGAAAUCCUGCUCGACGCAGAACAGCGGGGAGAGCAGUGUCUUCUGUGUGUGGCCGAAUCCAGGAGGCCUGUUUUGUAACCGUGUGUCGUGGUGCUUUUUCGUACACCCAGUGGCGUUCUUUUUACUAUAAUGUUCUUUUUUUUUUUUCCUCAAGAAGAAAAAUCACGAAUUUGCAGCAGACUUAAUUUUUGUUUACUUUUUGUCUUAAUGAUGGAUUUGAAAAUGAAAGAUUUAAAAGGCAGAACAGAAUCUGCUGUCCUUAAUUAUAUUUGCAAUUUGGAAUUUGUGUGAAUUGAUUUAGUAAAAUGUUAAACUGCU